GACGUAGGGCGCGAGCGUUGUCCGGAUUUAUUGGGCGUAAAGAGCUCGUAGGCGGCUUGUUGCGUCAGCUGUGAAAACCCGCAGCUCAACUGUGGGCUUGCAGCUGAUACGGGCAGGCUUGAGUUCGGUAGGGGAGACUGGAAUUCCUGGUGUAGCGGUGAAAUGCGUAGAUAUCGAGAGGAACACCAAUGGCGAAGGCAGCUCGCUGGAACGGUACUGACGCUGAGGCGCGAAAGCGUGGGGAGCGAACAGG
rnacentral:rRNA from 1 species